CCUACGGGCGGCAGCAGUGAGGAAUAUUGGUCAAUGGUCGGGAGACUGAACCAGCCAAGCCGCGUGAGGGAUGAAGGUACAGAGUAUCGUAAACCUCUUUUGUCAGGGCACAAAGGCGGGGACGUGUCCCCGGAUGAGUGUACCUGAAGAAAGAGCAUCGGCUAACUCCGUGCCAGCAGCCGCGGUAAUACGGGGGAUGCGAGCGUUGUCCGGUUUUAUUGGGUUUAAAGGGUGCGCAGGCGGUCAGUUAAGGCAGCGGUAAAAGCACGGGGCUCAACCCCGGCCCGCCGUUGAAACUGGCAGUCUCGAGUUGGAGAGAGGUAUGCGGAAUGCGCGGUGUAGCGGUGAAAUGCAUAGAUAUCGCGCAGAACUCCGAUGGCGAAGGCAGCAUGCCGGCUCCACACUGACGCUGAGGCACGAAAGCGUGGGUAUCGAACAGGAUUAGAUACCCGUGUAGUC
rnacentral:rRNA from 1 species